GGCUGGUUUGAGUGCAGUGAUGCUUACAACUAAUUGAUCACAUCCAAUUACAGAUUUCUUUGCUCCUUCUCUACUCCCAGUGCUUCACUUGACUAGCCUUUA
ensembl:misc_RNA Y_RNA Y RNA